UUCCUGGAGGUCUAGUGGUUAAGAUUCUGUGCUUUCAAUGCAGAGAGCCUGGGUUCAAUUCUUGGUCAGGAAG
rfam:TPA: Bos taurus chromosome 16, whole genome shotgun sequence.